GAGUGAUUCUAAAACUAGAUACAUGUACUGUAACCCUAUAUUUGGUGGGAAUUCAUUCCCUAUGACACAAUGAGUCUCUGACUUCUACUGGGACAAGACCUGUAAUCGGCACUUGAGAAUUCACUAGCUCUAACUCAUUGACAUGGAGGCAACACUAAAUUGUACAGCAUAGUGUAUGUUGGAAUGCAUGACUUCAUAUGUGGAGGGCCGUCCUCACAUUC
rnacentral:sRNA from 1 species